UAGAGGUGAAGAUGGAGACAUGGAGGUGAAGAUGGAGACAUGGAGGUGAAGAUGGAGACAUGGAGGUAAAGAUGGAGACAUGGAGGUGAAGAUGGAGACAUGGAGGUGAAGAUGGAGACAUGGAGGUGAAGAUGGAGACAUGGAGGUAAAGAUGGAGACAUGGAGGUGAAGAUGGAGACAUGGAGGUAAAGAUGGAGACAUGGAGGUGAAGAUGGAGACAUGGAGGUGAAGAUGGAGACAUGGAGGUGAAGAUGGAGACAUGGAGGUAAAGAUGGAGACAUGGAGGUGAAGAUGGAGACAUGGAGGUAAAGAUGGAGACAUGGAGGUGAAGAUGGAGACAUGGAGGUGAAGAUGGAG